UAGGGAAUCUUCGGCAAUGGACGAAAGUCUGACCGAGCAACGCCGCGUGAGUGAAGAAGGUUUUCGGAUCGUAAAACUCUGUUGUUAGAGAAGAACAAGGACGUUAGUAACUGAACGUCCCCUGACGGUAUCUAACCAGAAAGCCACGGCUAACUACGUGCCAGCAGCCGCGGUAAUACGUAGGUGGCAAGCGUUGUCCGGAUUUAUUGGGCGUAAAGCGAGCGCAGGCGGUUUCUUAAGUCUGAUGUGA
rnacentral:rRNA from 1 species